rnacentral:rRNA from 1 species
CACAAGCGGAGGAACAUGUGGUUUAAUUCGAUUGAUACGCGAGGAACCUUACCUGGGCUUAAAUGUAGAGUGCAUGAGGUAGAAAUACUUCUUUUCUUUCGGAACUCUCUGCAAGGUGCUGCAUGGUUGUCGUCAGCUCGUGCCGUGAGGUGUCGGGUUAAGUCCCAUAACGAGCGCAACCCUUAUCGUUAGUUGCCAGCGGGUAAUGCCGGGGACUCUAGCGAAACUGCCGGUGUAAACCGAGAGGAAGGUGGGGAUGACGUCAAAUCAGCACGGCCCUUAUGUCCAGGGCUACACACGUGUUACAAUGGCCGGUACAGAGGGCAGCUACCUGGAGACAGGAUGCGAAUCUCGAAAGCCGGUCUCAGUUCGGAUCGGAGUCUGCAACUCGACUCCGUGAAGCCGGAUUCGCUAGUAAUCGCGCAUCAGCCAUGGCGCGGUGAAUACGUUCCCGGGCCUU